AGAACGAACGCUGGCGGCAGGCUUAACACAUGCAAGUCGAACGCCCCGCAAGGGGAGUGGCAGACGGGUGAGUAACGCGUGGGAAUCUACCCAGUUCUACGGAAUAACACAGGGAAACUUGUGCUAAUACCGUAUACGCCCUACGGGGAAAGAUUUAUCGGGAUUGGAUGAGCCCGCGUUGGAUUAGCUAGUUGGUGGGGUAAUGGCCUACCAAGGCGACGAUCCAUAGCUGGUCUGAGAGGAUGGUCAGCCACAUUGGAACUGAGACACUGUCCAGACUCCUACGGGAGGCUGCAGUCGAGAAUCUUGGGCAAUGCACGAAAGUGUGACCCAGCGACGCCGCGUGGAGGAUGAAGGCCCUUGGGUUGUAAACUCCUUUUGUGAGGGAGAAUGCCGAAAGGCUUGACGGUACUCGCGAAUAAGCCACGGCUAACUACGUGCCAGCAGCCGC
rnacentral:rRNA from 1 species